UGUCUCGACUUCGAUCCGACUGGAGGAUGUGGGCUAUUCCUGGAGCCCGGUGGUUGUGUCGAAGACAGAAUGCUGACAUUGGAAGGUGCUUUCUGGCUGCUGUUGGCUUUCAGCUAUUGGAAAAGGUUCCCCGGGCGAUGCGAUUCAGCCGAGGACUAAAUAAAAGCCUGUUUUUUGGAGUGUACCGAUAUAACAUGGACAGAAAUUUAUUUUUAAAAUCUGCAAGAUGUUGAGGCUGUCGUGAUAUAUUAUAUUCUCGUGGAAACUUUUCAUGCGCAAAGGUUCCGGCGUUCCAUGGCUGAGACUUUCGGAGCAGUGCCGCUCCCGGAGGCUUUUGGAUUCCAUCGCUGCUGUUGACUGUGAUGGCAGCCCAAACGUACCAUAUAGCGGUGCCCGUUCGGCUGAACUCGGAACGGCCUCUUUCCGUUUCUAUUGUCGAUUUACGGGGUGCUUUCGAAACACGCUGCGUAUACCAGUUCAAAUCUUUCUUCGUGUUGAUGUUCCAGAUUAUGAAGUUUUCGAGUAAGAUACGAUAUAUGUUCCGAUAAGUGAUUGUUAUUUUUUUGAGUAACGAUAGCCUUCUUUAGUAAUACAUAAGGUUAA